GACGAACGCUGGCGGCGUGCUUAACACAUGCAAGUCGAACGAAAGGCCCUGCUUUUGUGGGGUGCUCGAGUGGCGAACGGGUGAGUAACACGUGAGUAACCUGCCCUUGACUUUGGGAUAACUUCAGGAAACUGGGGCUAAUACCGGAUAGGAGCUCCUGCUGCCUGGUGGGGGGUUGAAAGUUUCGGAGGUUGGGGAUGGACUCGCGGGUUAUCAGCUUGUUGGUGGGGUAGUGGCUUACCAAGGCUUUGACGGGUAGCCGGCCUGAGAGGGUGACCGGCCACAUUGGGACUGAGAUACGGCCCAGACUCCUACGGGAGGCAGCAGUGGGGAAUAUUGCACAAUGGGCGGAAGCCUGAUGCAGCAACGCCGCGUGCGGGAUGACGGCCUUCGGGUUGUAAACCGCUUUCGCCUGUGACGAAGCGUGAGUGACGGUAAUGGGUAAAGAAGCACCGGCUAACUACGUG
rnacentral:rRNA from 1 species